rnacentral:rRNA from 1 species
GGGUCAGUAGGUUGGUCGUGCCACCGGUACGUACUGGUCUCACUGAUUCCUCCUUCCUGAAGAACCGUAAUGCCAUUAAUUUGGUGUUGCGGGGAAACAGGACUGUUACUUUGAAAAAAUUAGAGUGCUUAAAGCAAGCUAACGCUUGAAUACAUUAGCAUAGAAUAAUGAAAUAGGACGAUCGAUCCUAUUUUGUUGGUUUCUAGGAUUGACGUA